UGAUCCUGGCUCAGGAUGAACGCUAGCGGCAGGCCUAACACAUGCAAGUCGAGGGGUAACAGAGAAGCUUGCUUCUGCUGACGACCGGCGCACGGGUGCGUAACGCGUAUGCAACCUACCUCAUACUGGAGAAUAGCCCUUGGAAACGAGGAUUAAUACUCCAUGGUAUCAUUCUUUCGCAUGUUAGAAUGAUUAAAGAAUUUCGGUAUGAGAUGGGCAUGCGUCCCAUUAGCUAGUUGGUGAGGUAACGGCUCACCAAGGCGACGAUGGGUAGGGGGCCUGAGAGGGUGGUCCCCCACACUGGUACUGAGACACGGACCAGACUCCUACGGGAGGCAGCAGUGAGGAAUAUUGGUCAAUGGAGGCAACUCUGAACCAGCCAUGCCGCGUGAAGGAUGACGGCCCUAUGGGUUGUAAACUUCUUUUAUAUGGGAAGAAACUUAUCUACGUGUAGAUAACUGACGGUACCAUACGAAUAAGGAUCGGCUAACUCCGUGCCAGCAGCCGCGGUAAUACGGAGGAUCCAAGCGUUAUCCGGAUUCAUUGGGUUUAAAGGGUCCGUAGGCGGAUUUUUAAGUCAGUGGUGAAAGCCGGCAGCUCAACUGUCGAACUGCCAUUGAUACUGGAAAUCUUGAGUACAAAUGAAGUAGGCGGAAUGAGUCAUGUAGCGGUGAAAUGCAUAGAUAUGACUCAGAACACCGAUUGCGAAGGCAGCUUACUAACAUGUAACUGACGCUGAGGGACGAAAGCGUGGGGAGCGAACAGGAUUAGAUACCCUGGUAGU
rnacentral:rRNA from 1 species